CAGGUGUACUGUGGAACAGUAUAAUACAGCAUGGUUGUCCAUUUAACACACAGUAUACAGGUGUACUGUGGAACAGUAUAAUACAGCAUGGUUGUCCAUUUAACACACAAUAUACAGGUGUACUGUGGAACAGUAUAAUACAGCAUGGUUGUCCAUUUAACACACAAUAUACAGGUGUACUGUGGAACAGUAUAAUACAGCAUGGUUGUCCAUUUAACACACAGUAUACAGGUGUACUGUGGAACAGUAUAAUACAGCAUGGUUGUCCAUUUAGCACACAAUAUACAGGUGUACUGUGGAACAGUAUAAUACAGCAUGGUUGUCCAUUUAGCACACAGUAUACAGGUGUACUGUGGAACAGUAUAAUACAGCAUGGUUGUCCAUUUAACACACAAUAUACAGGUGUACUGUGGAACAGUAUAAUACAGCAUGGUUGUCCAUUUAACACA